rnacentral:rRNA from 1 species
AGUCACUGACAUUAGAUACCCGGGUAGUCCAGGGCGUAAACGCUGCAGACUUGGUGUUGGAAGCCCUUUGGGGGCAUUCAGUGCCGGAGAGAAGUUGUUAAGUCUGCUACUUGGGGAGUACGUCCGCAAGGAUGAAACUUAAAGGAAUUGGCGGGGGAGCACCGCAACGGGAGGAGCGUGCGGUUUAAUUGGAUUCAACACCGUAAACUCACCAGGGAAGACUGUUACAUGAAGGCCGAGAUGAAGACUCUGCUAGAUUUUCAG